rnacentral:rRNA from 1 species
AACAUCUCAGUACCCGCAGGAAGAGAAAACAACCGUGAUUCCGGGAGUAGUGGCGAGCGAAACCGGAUGAGGCCAAACCGUAUGUGUGUGAUACCCGGCAGGGGUUGCGCAUGCGGGGUUGUGGGAGCUUUCUUGAUCGGUCUGCCGGCCGGUCGGUGAGUCAGAAAUUGUUGAUGUAGGCGAAGGGCAUGCGAAAGGCCCGGCGUAGAGGGUAAGACCCCCGUAGCCGAAAUGUCAGCAACUUGCUUGAGAGCCACCCAAGUAGCACGGGGCCCGAGAAAUCCCGUGUGAAUCUGGCGGGACCACCCGCUAAGCCUAAAUAUUCCCUGGUGACCGAUAGCGGAUAGUACCGUGAGGGA